CCCUCAUUUCACCCCUCUCCUUGCUCUUCUCCCUCCUCAUCCUCAGCAGUUCCCCUUUUCUGGAGUUCCCGGGGCUGAUUUUCACUUUCCCACCGCCGUUUUCCGUAAGGAGGGAGCCGGGGAGGGUCUCACAGGCAGGCUGGGUGGUGGGACCAGCUCUGUGAACAUCCUGCACCAGUCACAAACCAGCGUGGCUGCUCUGGUACUCUCCGUGCCUCAGUUUCCCCUCUGUCCAAGGCUGGCUGUGACGUGCCGUGUCCUCCUGCCAGGGUGACCCGUGUGCCCCGUGUGCCACCAUGGCGUCGCGCAUCGGGCUGCGGAUGGAGCUGAUGAAGCAGCAGGCGCAGCAGGAAGCGGAGCGGGAGCGGGUGCAGCAGCAGAUGAUGAUGAGCUACAUGCAGCAGCAGCGCAUGCCCGUGGCCUCCAGCCCCGCCAUCAACACCCCCGUCCACUUCCAGUCCCCGCCGCCCGUGCCCGGAGAGGUGCUCAAGGUCCAGUCCUACCUGGAGAACCCCACCACCUACCACCUGCAGAAGUCUCGGGACAAGAAGGUGCAGGCGUACCUGUCGGAAACCUACGGGAACAAGUUCGCUGCCCACGUCAGCCCCGCCAGCCACUCCCCGAAGCCGCCCCCGGCCGCGUCCCCCGGCGUCCGGCCCGGCCACGUGCUGUCCUCCUCUGCGGGCAACAGCGCUCCCAACAGCCCCAUGGCCAUGCUCAACAUCGGCUCCAACCCCGAGCGCGAGUUCGAUGAGGUCAUCGAUGACAUCAUGCGGCUGGAUGAUGUUUUGGGCUACAUGAACCCCGAAGUGCACAUGCCCAACACGCUGCCCAUGUCCAGCAGCCACAUGAACGUCUACAGUGGGGACCCGCAGGUGACAGCGUCACUCGUCGGUGUCACCAGCAGCUCCUGCCCUGCCGAGCUCACCCAGAAGAGAGAACUCACGGACGCCGAGAGCCGAGCCCUGGCCAAGGAGCGCCAGAAGAAAGACAAUCACAACCUGAUCGAGAGGCGGCGAAGGUUCAACAUCAACGACCGCAUCAAGGAGCUGGGAAUGCUGAUCCCCAAAGCCAACGACCUGGACGUGCGCUGGAACAAAGGGACGAUCCUGAAGGCGUCUGUGGAUUACAUCAAGAGGAUGCAGAAGGACCUGCAGCGGUCCCGGGACCUGGAGAAUCACUCGAGGCGCCUGGAGAUGACGAACAAGCAGCUGCUGCUCCGCAUCCAGGAGCUGGAGAUGCAGGCACGCGUCCACGGGCUGCCCACCUCCUCUCCCUCGGGCGUCAACGUGGCCGAGCUGGCCCAGCAGGUGGUCAAGCAGGAGGCCAGCGGGGACGAGGGGAGCCUGGAGCCGCUGCUGCCCCCCCAGGACCCCGAGUCACAGGCUCAGCCGGCGCUGCCCGCGCCCCCCCAGUCUCCCUACCACCAGCUGGACUUCACCCACAGCCUCAGCUUCGACGACGGCUCCCAGGGCUUCCCCGACAGCCUGGAGCCCGGGCACAGCUCUUCCUUCCCCUCCCUGUCCAAGAAGGAGCUGGACUUGAUGCUGAUGCAGGACACCAUGCUGCCCCUGGCCUCUGACCCCUUGUUCUCAGCCAUGUCCCCCGAGGCCUCCAAGGCCAGCAGUCGCCGGAGCAGCUUCAGCAUGGAGGACACGGACAUGCUGUGACGGGGCAGCGCCAGCUCGGGCUGGGCCAGUCCCGGGACGCUCCUGGCAGGAGGAGCCCGUCCUGCCCUGCACUUGAACCUUCCCAGGAGCACCUUUCUCUAUGCAACGGGGGCUGGGGUCAGGUGCCACCCCGUGUCUUUCGCAGCUUCUUUUUGCCAGGAGCGGGGAUGGACCUGCCUGGCUUGGCAGAUCCCGCAGCCUGCGCCGAGAUCUCGGCUGCUUUGCCUUCCAGCAGAGCCUGCUGGCCUCGCCCCCUUCCCCAGGAGCAGAGGGAGGAUGCUGCCAGCUCUGUGUCCAGUUUGGUGUCUCCUUGCCUUGCUCUGGGAUCCUUCAUCCCCUCUGAGUCUUCCCCAGCCACCCUGGAUGCUCCCCAGUCCAUCCAGUUCCUCCUUCCUGGGAGCACCCGCUGCCUCUGUGGUCACAGGAGGGUUAAUCAGUGUUCACUAGUACGGCACCAUCGGGGUGUUGGCUCAGGUGGGCGCCGAGGGUACCCAGAACUCCUGGGAUGGGGGGUUUGAUGCUCCACCACCCCCCUGCUGUCACCCCCACCACCCCAAAACCUCUGGGCAAGGCUGCCGGGUGACCCUGAGCUGCUCGAGGUGUCCCUGCAGCGUCUCUGCCCCGUGGCACCGAGCCCCAGCCCCUCCCGCCAGGAUGAAAGGGUUUUACACUUCUGCUUUUGGGGGAUACUUCUGGAAAAUCCUGCCCCACGUGGGCGUGAAGCUCCAGGCUGUGACCAGGGAAGGGUUUGUGCCACCUGCCAAACCUGAGCUGCUGCUCCCAGCUUGGAAUCUGGGGGUUGCUCCUCUUCCCAGUGUCACCAGUUUGUUCUGCAGCUCUGUGCUGGGGAGCUGCCUCACUGCUGACCCCCCAGUGCAGCUGGGAGGGAGCUGGGGAGGGCAGGGGAGCACAGGGAAAAUCCAAAUCCUCCCUGGGGUGAGUGAGGGACAGGAGAGGAGACCCUUGGCCAUUGUCCCCCCUGCUGUCCCUGUGGGGCUGGGGGGUCCCUCUGUGCCCCCCAUCCUGCACCUGGGUGUCCUGGGGGGGGGAAAAGAGAUGCCAGAAUUUGGGAUUGGAGGUGGGGGGCAGCCCUGGAGAGGGGCCUGUGGGAUGUGAGGGUGUGGAGAAGUGCAGAAGGUGGGGAGGAAGAGGGAGGAGGAGGAGUUGGAGCAGCCCUGGAGCAGGGCAGGGAGCAGGGAGGGACCUGAGGGGACUCUGGGUGACCAGAGAGGAGUCCAGGUGACCAGAAAGGGGCUCCAGGUGACCAGAGAGGAGUCCAGGUUACCAGGGAAGGGCUCCAGGUGACCAGAGGAGUCCAGGUGACCAGAAAAGGGGUUCCAGGUGACCAGAGAGGGCUCCAGGUGACCAGAGAGGAUUCCAGGUGACCAGGGAAGAGUUCCAGGUGACCAGAGGGGCUCCAGGCGACCGGGGAAGAGUUCCAGGUGAUCAAAAAGGGGCUCCAGGUGAUCAAAAAGGGGCUCCAGGUGACCAGAGGGGCUCCAGGUGACCAGAAAGGGGCUCCAGGUGACCAGAGAGGAGUCCAGGUGACCAGAAAGGGGCUCCAGGUGACCAGAGAGGAGUCCAGGUGACCAGAAAGGGGCUCCAGGUGACCAGAGAAGGGCUCCAGGUGACCAGAGGGGCUCCAGGUGCUCACCUGGAGAAGGAUCCAGGAGACUCUGAGCCCCUUCCAGGACCUGAAGGUCUGAGCUGCAGGGCUGGGGAUGCUCACGGGAGGCCUUGGCACCCUUUGUGUGCUGCCACCAGUGCCUGGAACGAGAAUUGUCCCCUCCAGGGUCACCCCUGGCCCGGCUGGGGACCUGGGCUGUGGGAGAGCCACGGAUCUGAGCCCUCCAGAGGGGUUGUGGGUGCUCCAGGGCAGGAAAUCCCACGGGAAAUUGGGAUUCUUGUGGCUUCAGGGUGCCCUGGCCACUGCCCAGCACGAGAUGUCUCCCCUGGCUGUGAGUAAACAGUUGUGGAUUAUAAUUACUUUUUUUUUUUUAAAUCUUUUCGGGAGUUUUGUUUGUUUUUCU